rnacentral:rRNA from 1 species
GCUACCAUGCAAGUCGAGCGGAACGAGUUAUCUGAACCUUCGGGGAACGAUAACGGCGUCGAGCGGCGGAGGGGUGAGUAAUGCCUAGGAAAUUGCCCUGAUGUGGGGGAUAACCAUUGGAAACGAUGGCUAAUACCGCAUGAUGCCUACGGGCCAAAGAGGGGGACCUUCGGGCCUCUCGCGUCAGGAUAUGCCUAGGUGGGAUUAGCUAGUUGGUGAGGUAAGGGCUCACCAAGGCGACGAUCCCUAGCUGGUCUGAGAGGAUGAUCAGCCACACUGGAACUGAGACACGGUCCAGACUCCUACGGGAGGCAGCAGUGGGGAAUAUUGCACAAUGGGCGCAAGCCUGAUGCAGCCAUGCCGCGUGUAUGAAGAAGGCCUUCGGGUUGUAAAGUACUUUCAGUCGUGAGGAAGGCGGUGUCGUUAAUAGCGGCGUCGUUUGACGUUAGCGACAGAAGAAGCACCGGCUAACUCCGUGCCAGCAGCCGCGGUAAUACGGAGGGUGCGAGCGUUAAUCGGAAUUACUGGGCGUAAAGCGCAUGCAGGUGGUUUGUUAAGUCAGAUGUGAAAGCCCGGGGCUCAACCUCGGAAUAGCAUUUGAAACUGGCAGACUAGAGUACUGUAGAGGGGGGUAGAAUUUCAGGUGUAGCGGUGAAAUGCGUAGAGAUCUGAAGGAAUACCGGUGGCGAAGGCGGCCCCCUGGACAGAUACUGACACUCAGAUGCGAAAGCGUGGGGAGCAAACAGGAUUAGAUACCCUGGUAGUCCACGCCGUAAACGAUGUCUACUUGGAGGUUGUGGCCUUGAGCCGUGGCUUUCGGAGCUAACGCGUUAAGUAGACCGCCUGGGGAGUACGGUCGCAAGAUUAAAACUCAAAUGAAUUGACGGGGGCCCGCACAAGCGGUGGAGCAUGUGGUUUAAUUCGAUGCAACGCGAAGAACCUUACCUACUCUUGACAUCCAGAGAACUUUCCAGAGAUGGAUUGGUGCCUUCGGGAACUCUGAGACAGGUGCUGCAUGGCUGUCGUCAGCUCGUGUUGUGAAAUGUUGGGUUAAGUCCCGCAACGGACGCAAACCUUAUCCUUGUUUGCCAGCGAGGUAUGUCCGGAACUCCAAGGAGACUGCCGGUGAUAAUCCGGAGAAAGUGGGGAGACACGUUCAAGUAUCUCAUUGCUCAGACGAGUAGGGCUACACACGUACUACAAUGGCGCAUACGAGGAGGCGGCUUCA